AUUUCAUGAUGAGGACAUUGGCGCAAGAGAUCUUUGAAGCGCUCCCACGCUUCAUAAUAGUUUUCAAAUGGACUUUGCUUGAAAGUUUGAAUCUCCAUGCGCAAUU